UACGUAGGGGGCAAGCGUUGUCCGAAUUUAUUGGGCGUAAAGAGCUCGUAGGCGGUUCGUCGCGUCGGCUGUGAAAUCCCGAGGCUCAACCUCGGGUCUGCAGUCGAUACGGGCGGACUGGAGUUCGGCAGGGGAGACUGGAAUUCCUGGUGUAGCGGUGAAAUGCGCAGAUAUCAGGAGGAACACCGGUGGCGAAGGCGGGUCUCUGGGCCGAUACUGACGCUGAGGAGCGAAAGCGUGGGGAGCGAACAGG
rnacentral:rRNA from 1 species